GAGUUUGAUCUUGGCUCAGAUUGAACGCUGGCGGCAUGCCUUACACAUGCAAGUCGAACGGCAGCACGGGAGCUUGCUCCUGGUGGGCGAGUGGCGAACGGGUGAGUAAUGCAUCGGAACGUAUCCUGGAGUGGGGGAUAACGUAGCGAAAGUUACGCUAAUACCGCAUAUUCUGUGAGCAGGAAAGCGGGGGACCUUCGGGCCUCGCGCUCUUGGAGCGGCCGAUGUCGGAUUAGCUAGUUGGUGAGGUAAAGGCUCACCAAGGCGACGAUCCGUAGCAGGUCUGAGAGGAUGAUCUGCCACACUGGAACUGAGACACGGGUCCAGACUCCUACGGGAGGCAGCAGUGGGGAAUUUUGGACAAUGGGGGCAACCCUGAUCCAGCCAUGCCGCGUGAGUGAAGAAGGCCU
rnacentral:rRNA from 1 species